UACGUAGGUGGCAAGCGUUGUCCGGAUUUAUUGGGUUUAAAGGGUGCGUAGGCGGUCAUGUAAGUCAGUGGUGAAAUCCGGCAGCUUAACUGUCGAUGUGCCAUUGAUACUGUUUGACUUGAGUACAGACGAGGUAGGCGGAAUUGACGGUGUAGCGGUGAAAUGCUUAGAUAUCGUCAAGAACACCGAUAGCGAAGGCAGCUUACUAGACUGUAACUGACGCUGAUGCACGAAAGUGUGGGGAUCAAACAGG
rnacentral:rRNA from 1 species